rnacentral:rRNA from 1 species
UGUGUAGGCUGCUUCGUAAGUGGGAUGUGAAAUCCCCCGGCUCAACCGGGGAAUUGCGUUUCAAACUGCGGAGCUGGAGUAAGACAGGGGUAAGCGGAACUUGCGGUGGAGCGGUGAAAUGCUUUGAUAUUGCAAGGAACACCAGAGGCGAAGGCGGCUUACUGGGUCUUUACUGACGCUGAGACACGAAAGCCAGGGUAGCGAACG